rnacentral:lncRNA from 10 species
CCUGGAAACACAUCCGCAGACGCACAAAGGAGGUUUCCCCUGGGAUGCAGGAAGCUGAGGCCUAUUCCUGAGGGCAGGGAGGACACUCGCACAGAGGAAACGUGUGGAACUUGGCUCAGGCAUGCACUGAGCCCAGGGGAACAGCCUAGAGCCUCUGGCUUGAGGAAGAAGGUGGGCCCCUAUCUAGCAGGAAGUCCUGCCCCCAAGCAAGGGCAGAGCCCCUCAGAGGAGGACUCAGGGGUGCAGAGAACCUGGACCCAGGAGCCAUCUGGUUCCAGCCCUUGCAAGACAGCUGCAUUCUAAGCCUCUGACCCUGGGAAGUGACCUGUCCAGAGGCCGCACAGCCACUUCUCUAUGGAACAGCAGCUCCCAGUACAAGGACAAGGCGAAGGCGUGGCUGGUCCGGGGUCCUCCCUGCACAAUCCUGUCAAACUCUGGGCUUAAGGAAUGGGAAGAUGAGGCAUCCUCACCUAUGGCUGACUUGCUUAGGUAAGGAUGACCAAAACGGGCACAUCCCUUCCCCUGGUUUUCCUGCAGCGCCUGGACAGUGGACAGCCUUGAUACCAGGAUUCAGGUGAAGUGGCCAGUGCGGGGCAGUGGUAGCUCUGGCCCCCUCAGGCCCCACAUCUGCAAAAUGGGGAUUCUGCCACCCACUUCAAGGGGUGGAGAAGGGGCACAUAGAACUCUCCAGACAGCAAGUCGCUCCUCCUCGCCCCACCCCUCAUAAGCUCGGCUGUUUCCUGGACUGUGGUUGCAUCUCCCUCAAUGCAGCCUGCUCUGGCACUCUGGCCCUCCCUGGCAUCUGGUCUCCAGGACCCAAAGAACCGAAAUUCCUUUGGUGACUGCAGCUCUGACCUUUCCCCAGCCCCACGUGGACACAGGAGGGAAAGUGAGCUGGGGGUGCGAUAACUUGGGGCUGUAAGGGGUGGCCAGGGCUCGAAUCACGGCCUGUGCCUGGACCUUCUGUGAAUACAGGGCCCGUCCUGGUUCAUCACCGUGAGCUGGUUCUCUGGGUGGACACACUGCCCUCCCAGCGCCCUGCCAUGUAGAAAUCUUCCCUCACUUGGUGAAUCCAAACAGGUAAUCUGGGAAGGGGACCUGGAAUCUGGAGACCACCCCUCCUGCUCUUCAUGUCCCACACACAGCCCUGGUGGCUGAGUUGACCCAAGCAUGGCGUGACCUCUCUCCCCACCAGCCAGACUGGCUGAGCAGGGCCCCUGUUCCCCACAGAGCAGGUGGGCAGGUGUGCGGGCAUGCCAGGGAAGCGUUUGAGACGGGCCGAGACACCAAUCCCCUCGGCCUUCUGGUCAGCAGAGGAGGCCUGGGAGGCCUGAACCCCUGGGCUGGGCUCCUCUGUGACCCCAGUCAGGGAACACAUUUCAUUUUCUGAGUCUGCUCUUAAUGUGAAGAAAGCCUGGGAGGUGUUGGCCAGCAAUUCUGAACCCAGCCAGCUCCCAGGAAGCAAAGGGAGAGGGUUUGAAAAUGCAGAUCCCCAGGCCCUGCUCCAGGCUCUGGAAUGUUCAGGUUCAGAACCAGGCCUGGCAUUUUGGGAAGAGCCCCUGGAUAGCUGCGACGAGCAUGCCCUGGAAUCUCUAACCCAGAGAAUCUCUCUAACCCAGAAACUCCAGGGAAGCUCCGUGAUCCUAAAUGAAACCUGCAUCUUCAUGCGGAAGCAUGAAAGCAGGGGGCAGGGCACCCCAGCCUGCCAGGCCCACGCCACCUACCGCAGGCAGGUGUUCCCAUCAAGAUGGGACAAGAGGCAGGACAGCCUCUGGCCCUCCAGAGUCACCUCCCAAGUCAGGUGCUCAGUGAGCCUGAUGUUAAACACAGAAUUCUUUUCAGAAAACAUCAAGUUCUGGACUUGAAAGUUCUGGAAUCUUGCCUCCUUUCAGGAUGGUGGACAUCAGAAAAAACGCCUCCAAGAAUGGGGCCAAACAGCUUAGCUCGGGCCUUUGUUUCCCACUGAGGACUCCAGAGGACCUCACGGAAGGCUUAGUUAAAGACGAAGGCAGGCGGGGUGGGUCCUGGGAUCCUCUCACACACGAACGCCUGGAUUCAUUUGACGGAUACCUACCAAGCCCCUACUAUGUGGCCAGUCCUGGGUACUGGGGAUGCAGAUAAAUGCAGUAGACAAAAGUACCUGCUUUGUGGAGCUGACAGUUUAAGCAGGGCAAGAGACACAAGAAAAAGAUAAAAUAUUUUAAAUGCGGUAGUCAGGGAAGGUCACAGUGAAAAGGUGACAUUUAAGCAGAGACCUGAAGAAGGUGAGGAAGUGGGCAUGUGGAUACCUGGGGAAACUGCAUUCCAGCAAAAGGCAGGUGCAAAGGUCCUGGGGCAGGUGCGCAGUUCUAGGAAUGACAGUGUGUUCUAGGAAUGACAGUGAGGAGGCCGCUGUGGCUGCAGCAGGGGCCAGGAGAGGCAGAAGAACAGAAGCUGAGGUCAGCAGGAGUCGGCAGUCAGAUGACAUGGGGCCUCGCAGGUCAGACUCCAAGUGAGAUGGGAGGACCCUGGAGGGCUGGCUGCAGAGCCUCAGUCUGAUUGGACUUAUUUAUAGGUAGGAGAUAUCUUCAAACACACAAGGUAUGACUGUCUAAGGAUCAUUUGUGGCCUUAGAAUCUCCUGUCCCAGCAAAUAAAGAGAUGCAUAGGCAAAAUGGCCUGCUGCAAGGGCCAAGAGAGUGCAAGAAUGUCCCUAAAAAUAACACUGUGGACUGCUUUUCCUUGGCACAAAAGAUCGACUGCACUGAACAUUUAAGUGUGGUCACUAGGGGUCACUGGUGUUCUCCAGGCCUCCAGCCGCCCUGCUCUCUGGCCCGAGGCUCUUGCUGCACUUGGUGGUGCCCGCACCCCACUGCAGCUCUAACCCACAGUUCAGUACUGAGGACAGAUUCGCCUCCUAAGCAUUCCAGUGACCUAAUAUCGACCCUUUGCACCAGCCCUCUGCCGCCCUUACAAGUCCAUGCCUCCAUCCUGAAGACCUGGGCUUGGUCCUAAUGGAGCCCCCAAAAAUGUAGCCCGAGAGUCCAGUACCCCCAGAACUCACCCGGCACGGAGAAGGGGGACAGGAAGUCAGCCUCCACCGGCUCUGGCUCUGGCGGUGGUGGCUGUGGCGGCGGCUGCUGCUCCUGAUUCUGCUGAGGGUCUUCGGGGUUUUCCACAGGAACAUUCCCGUUCUCAAUGUUCUCGUGCCUCCCGUUUUGAAGCGGCUUACUGCUCACACCAUUGGCCGAGUUGAUCAGUCUCUGCCGCUGUGUGGACAGGAGGCAACAUGGACACCAAGGCAUGUGAUAAAGCAUCAUGCUAUUGCUAUACGCUGGGUCCCUCACACGCACCCUGCUCUUACAGGUGCCUAGAACAACAACCCUGGGGACAGGUUUGCCUGAGAAUCAGCCCCAGGACCUUGGAAUCCUUCUAUGUUUGGUCACUUACAUUUGCAUGGUUACCAGGAAAACUUUGAGGAUUUAUCAGAGGGCCUGGGCCACCCCUUCCUACUGCCAGCUCGACAACCCAGCCCACGGCCCUGGUGACAGCCAUCAUUCGGGGCUCUCCCUGGUGACGUUCACAGCUGCCUGAAGAUGGCCACAGGAAAGGCCCUGCGUGCAUUUUGUAAUUUUUAAUUUUUUAGGUACAUUAUACAAAAUGUACACUCACUGCCGGGCACGGUGGCUCAUGCUUGUAAUCCCAGCACUUUGGGAGGCCGAGGUGGGUGGAUCACUUGAGGUCAGGAGUUCAAGAUCAGCCUGGCCAACAUGGUGAAACCCUGUCUCUACUAAAAAUACAAAAACUAGCCAGCCGUGGUGGUAGGCCCCCGUAAUCCCAGCUACUUAGGAGGCUGAGGCAGGAGAAUCGCUUGAACCCGGGAGGCAGAGGUUGCAGUGAGCUGAGAUAAUGCCUGGGCAACAAAAGCAAGACUCUGUCCUAAAAAAAAAAAGUACACUUACACUAAGUGCACAGAUUAAUGAUGUUUUACAUCAAGAUGUAUAACAUUUCCAGCCCCUUCAAAGACUCGCCUCAGGCACUUUCCUAGUCUACAUACCCCUACUCCAGAGGUAACCAAGGCAACCACUUUGCUGACUUUUGUAAACAUUGAUUAGUUUUUCCUGAACUUGAACUUCAUAUAAAUGGAUUCAAGUAUUAAUGUAUAUUUUAUGACUGGCUUCUUUCAGGCAACCAAUAGCCAUGAGAUUCACCCAGCUUGUUGCAUGAGUCAGCAGUUUGUUAUUUUUCAUGGCUGUGUAGUAUUCUAUUAUAUUGAAUAACCCACGAUAUGGCUUUGCCUAUUGAUGGGCAUUCAGAUAGUUUCCCCUUUUUGGUUGUUAUGAAGACUGCAGCUAUGCACAUUUGUGUACAUGUCUUUUGUGGACAUACAGCCUUUCGGUGUGUGUCACUGAAAUUUUUAGAGCUGAAAGCAUCCUGUUCAAUACCCUCACAUUAAGUGGGCUAGCGGCUGAUGUGAGAUUGAAGCUCAGAAUUCCUUCCUUCUGGACCCGGCUUCUCCAGCUCUCCAUGCUGCCUUCCAGGUAGUUCAAUCACAACAUGGUGGAAGAUAAAGUCUUCCCAGUAGCUUAGAACAUUUAGGGCAUAAUAACCAGUAUCUCAGCAACUUACCAAAACCUAUUCCUUUCCCGGCUAUAUAUGCCAUGAAAAAGAUACUAUAAAUCCCAAUCUCUAAAUCCUUAAAAGUUAUUCAACCCUCCCCACCCUCUCAGCACCCAGUGGGUACAAUUAAUGCAUGCAUGAAAGACGGCCUGGAUUCGGUCAAAUUUCAUUGAUUCAAAUUUUACCGAAUUGGACCGAAAUGAUUCACAAUGAUUCAAAACUUUGGAAAGGUGUUUCCUUUUCUUAAUAUACUUUCUACAGAGAGGGCACAGUACACAUUAAAUCAAAGAGAAAUGUUUACAAUAUGAACCCGUAGGCACUGUGAAAUAUCGUUCUUGCAUACAAUCUAUGUGUUAACUACUAAUUAUCAGCGAUCACAGUUUGAAGUCUACCAACCCAUCUGCUUCUCAGAGUAAGGACUUAAAAUUCCAAAAUGCACACAUGCAACAAAGA